GCUCAGGAUGAACGCUGGCGGCGCGCCUAACACAUGCAAGUCGAACGAGCGAGAGAGAGCUUGCUUUCUCGAGCGAGUGGCGAACGGGUGAGUAACGCGUGAGGAACCUGCCUCAAAGAGGGGGACAACAGUUGGAAACGACUGCUAAUACCGCAUAAGCCCACAGCUCGGCAUCGAGCAGAGGGAAAAGGAGCAAUCCGCUUUGAGAUGGCCUCGCGUCCGAUUAGCUAGUUGGUGAGGUAACGGCCCACCAAGGCAACGAUCGGUAGCCGGACUGAGAGGUUGAACGGCCACAUUGGGACUGAGACACGGCCCAGACUCCUACGGGAGGCAGCAGUA
rnacentral:rRNA from 1 species